CAGGUAGUUGGUUUCCUUUUCUUAGAGUGGGUUUCAGGCUUCCAGUCUGGUCACCAGGCAGCUCUGCCCCGCCCCGCCCUGCCCUCCAUUGUGGUACCUGUACAGGAGUCUGAGACAUCCCUUUCCAGAGUCUCAGAAAGGAGACUGAAGGGUACCUAGAGACUCAAACAAAUCAGUCCAGAAUGAUAAAAGAAGGUCACCAUCAAAUGAGAUGAUGACCGAGGAGUCAGAAGUUGUCCUAAUAUCAGCUUCCCAGGUCCAGGUUCCCUCAGAGAGCCUCUAUGAAGACUCUGUCGAAGACCAUGAGACCAUGUCCCAAAGGAAUCCUCCCAACGCUGCAGCCUCCUGGCAGACGUUCAGGAAAUUCCACUAUGAGGAUGCAGCUGGACCCAGGGAUGUCCUCCGACAUCUCCAGAAACUUUCUGGACAGUGGCUGAGACCUGAUGUUCAGACAAAGAGCAGAUUGUGGAGAUGCUGGUACAGGAGCACUUCCAGGCUGUCCUGCCCGAGGAGCUCAGAUCCAGGCCCAGAGAUGUCAGCCUAGGGUCAGAAUCACUGCCACUGGGUUCUUGUGCAGCCUACAUGUGAGAAGUAACCAGAGGUUCACUUUGUUGUUUCAAGAGCCAGCUACAGUGAUGGGGAAACGUGAACCUCAGUUUUUUUGAGCUUGCCUUUGACUAAAUUGUAAAUAAGACUCCAUCAAAACCCAUGUUUGGAUGUCUGUCUGCCUGAGACUGCUCUAAUUCCUGGGACUGAGCUCCAGAAAGAGUUUCUUUAAUCCCCUGUUAGGACAACCAGCCUGUUGCUUGUUUUUGCUCUGUUGAAUGCCUCCUUUUUUGCACUUUCUGACAUGCUUUACUAUGUUGUUAUAUAUCCAAAGAAGUAAUUGCCUCAACUUUCAGAGUUCUUGAUUCUUGCUGUGGUGGCAUGAAUGGAAGCUAUUGUAACCCCGUCUAGUAACUCUCAUUUGAGAUGUCCUUGAAAUACUGAAGUUUGGUCCUAAAAAUCGUUUUUUCUCUUCUUUACAUUGUAUAAUUUCUUUUUUUUUUUUUUAACUUGUUAAUGUUUAUUUUGUGAGAGAGAGAGAGAGAGUGUGAGCUGGGAAGGGGCAGAGAGAGAGGGAGACACAGAAUCUGAAGCAGGCUCCAGGGUCUGAACUGUCAGCACAGAGCCCAACCUGGGGCGCAGAUCCACAAACUGCGAUAUCAUGACCUGAGCCAAAGUCAGACUUUUAACCAACUGAGCCACCCAGAUGAAUCAAAUUUAUUUCUUUUUUUAAAAAAACAUUUAUUUAUUUUUGGGAGAGUGCAAGUGGGGGAGGGGCAGAGAGAGGGUGACAGAGGGUCCAGAGCAGGCUCCGCACUGAUGGACUGAUAGCAGAGAGCCCGAUGCGGGGCUCGAACUUACGAACCACAAUUAUCAUGACCUGAGCCAAAGUCAGAUGCUCAACCAACUAAGCCACUCAGUUGCCCCUAUAAUUUCUUUCUUUCUUUUUUUUAAAUGUUUAUUUAUUUUUGAGAGAGAGACAGAGCACAAGCAGGGGAGGGGCAGAGAGAGAGGGAGACACAGAAUCUGAAGCAGGCUCCAGGCUCUGAGCUGUCAGCACAGAGCCCGAUGUGGGGCUCGAACUCACGAACCAUGAGGUCAUGACCUGAGCCGAAGUCGGAUGCUCAACUGACUGAGCCACCCAGGUGCCCCAAUUUUUUUCUUUAAAAAAGUUUAUUUAUUUUUGAGAGAGAGAGAUAGUGCAAGCAGGGGAGAGGCAGAGAGAGAGAGGGAGAGAGAGAAUCCCAAACAGGCUCCACACUGUCGGCAUGGAAUCCGACACAGGACUCAAACUCAUGAACCGUAAGAUCGUGACCUGAGCUGAAUCAAAGAGUUGGACACUUAACUGAAUGAGCCACCCAGGUGUCCCUACACUACAUAAUUUCUACUGCUCUCUCUUCAAGUUCACUUACUUUUCCCUUUACCAUCUCCUUUUAGCUAUUAAGUAUAUACAGCAAAUAUUUUAUUUCAAAUGUGUUUUUCUGUUCCAGAAUUUUCAUUUGUUUCCCUUUCCAUUGUUUCUAUUUCUCUCCUGAGAUUUCCUAACUUUUUAUUCAUUAUGGGAAGAAUGUUUGCUUUAAAAUUCUUUUUCCAAUACCUGAUUUACCCUAGGGUUGGGCUAAAUUGAUUUUCUUUUCUUUUGAGAGGUAUUAGUUGUAAUUCAUUCCAGGCAAUGAAUUCCCCAAACCAGGUAUACAUAUUAUUGCCUGCUAAAGCAAAGCAAAGCAGAGCAAAGCAGAGCAAACAACAAACCCAGCACUCAUCAGAGGCUAGUAACAGAAUUCAGAAGCUCCACAAACUAACAGGUAUAAUGCUAAGAUCCAAUCUAAAAUUCCUUAGCAUACUAACAACCAAGAAAACGGGGUUUUUUAGAGGUAGGGGGCAGAAAUUCUGGUUUCCGUUUAGAUAUGUUGUCUUUAGCUGAACUGCUUUGAGUAUUCUGUGCCUGCAUCUUUCAGGGGUCAGUAAGAGAUGUGAGUACAGAAUUUGGGGAUCCCCGCUCUGUUUCUUUUCUUUCUGGGAGUUCCCACCUCUUCAGUAGCCAAAUACUUCACAGUCUCAGUUUUCUGGUUCUCCUAGUCAGAAUUCUGCCCUUUCCCCACUGUUUCACAUGCAGUAUUUUAGCCCCAGGCUCAAAUGAAACUAAUUUUGUAUAACUCCCCUCCUCCUUGUAUGUACUUGUUACAAGAGUCUAUCUGCUUCUGUUCAUUCUCCAGUGCCUUCAGAAAUUAUGAGAAUGAGCAUGGUUUCAGACUUUAUGUCACGCUCUCAUCAUGAAAUCACACUUUGUAGUUUUCCAAGGUGCUAGAGAGAAAAAUAGUGAGAUUAAGAAAGCAUAAAAAAAGAAGACAGUGGUGCUUUGGAAUUCUUGGAGUGAUCUUGCUGAUAAAUUUAAGUAAAUUGUCAAGCAAAAAAUGUACCUUCUCAGAUAAUCUGAACUUCUUACAUAAAUAGUAAAAUAAUUUAAAUUGAUUUUAUUACCUGUCAGUGAUGUAGUUGUUUCUGGGUCUGACAUCAGCAAAACUGUUUCAGGAACAAUUACAACAUUGAAUUUGUUUUCAAAAUUUGAUUUCUAUUUGAAAGGUAUAUCAGAGUUUGGAUGUCACAAUGAGGGUAUAUAUCAUUGAAGUGCUAUAAAAGUAAUAAUGUGUAUUCAUUCUGAUAGCUUAUGUCUUUUCUUUGUUUAGCAGCAUUACUAUGGAUGGGUUAAAAUAACUUUUCUUUCUUUAAAGCAAUAUUAUGGGAGAAAAUUCCACUUGAACUGUAGAUGCAUUUAAAAAAAAUUUUUAAUGUUUAUUUUUGAGAGAGAGAGAGAGAGAACACAAAUGGGGUGGGGAGGGGUAGAGAGAGAGGGAGACACAGAACUGAAACAGGCUCCAGGCUCUGAGCCAUCAGCACAGAGCCCGACGUGGGGCUCGAACUCACAGACCAUGAGAUCAUGACCUGAGCCAAAGUCAGACACUUAACUAACUGAGCCACCCAGGCACCCCUAGAUACAUUUUUUUAGUGGAUGCAUUUAAAUAAAAGAUCUGAAGGCUUUAUAUUUAUUUUUUUAUGUUUAUUUAUUUGUUUUGAGAGAGAGAGAGAGCACAUGUGCUGGGAAGGGGCAGAGAGAAAGGGAAGGAGGGAAUCACAAGCAGGUUCCAUGCUGUCAGUGCAGAGCCUGAUGCCAGGCUCAAUCUUGUGAACUAUGAGAUUGAACCUGAGCCAAAAUCAAGAGUCAGAUGCUUCUCUGACUGAGCCACCCAGGCACCCCUGAAGGCUUUAUAUUUAGAAACCCAGAUCAACAAGUGUUAUAUCAAAACCCUGUUGUAGCAGUAGGAUAAAUUGAAAUUUAAGUCUGCAGCAAAAGCGUGUAAAGGGUUUCUCUUUUGAUUUGCCCUGAGGAGUCUCGUUCUAAUUGCACAGAAAUGGGGUAAGGGUAAUUGUAUGCAAAGAGAGAUCUUCAUUCUCAGUCUCUGUGGACAUUGAGGGCUAAUGAGACCUCUUUCUGGACAGAUGUCUGUUUUAGGAUAACAGAACAGUCCCCAAAGUAAAAGAGGAUAUAGCUGGGCAAAUAAAGCAACUAAAAUAUUCAUCUUGGAGGAAAAACCAUCCUUUAGAAAAUGUCUCCCCUAGUGUGCGCAUUCUUAGUUUUAUACAUGGAACAGGUGGCAGUUAUCAAUUGAAUCAGUUAUUCAUUGAUUCAUUCAUUCAGUAACUGAAUGACUUCUAUGUGCCAAGGUGCAAGGUACUGUCUUAGUGGAGAAAAAAUGUGAAGUAUGUCUUUCCCUUAAAGAAAUUAAGAUCUAGUGAAAAGCAAGAGAAGGGAGGGAAGCUGACAUAUGGAGCUUGACCCUGUGCCAAGCACGCCUCCAUACUUAAUUGACAUUAACCAUCUGAACCCGUCCUACAGACCUGUGAAAAGGCUGCAUGGAGUCAUGGAUAAAGGUCAGGCUUUAGAAUCAGAUGGCCUAUGAUCAACUCUCACCUCUGUGUCUCGGUUUCCAACCGUAAAACACACACCUGUAAAACACAGGUGACAAUAGCACCCACCUCACAGGUCUGUUGUGUGGUUUGAUGCGAGACUACAGGGGCAGUGCUCAGCAUGGUGCCUGCAUACAGCAGGUGAUCACGUAGCAGUGACGAAUACUAUCAUCCUCAUUUGUCUCAUGAGAAAAUCUCUUACUAGUCAAUAAAUAAGUAGCAGGAGUAAAAAUUCUCAUCCAGGCCUACCUAACAAAGUUUCAGAAAUUCUCAUGAAACAAUUCUCUCUCCUCAAAAUAAAAUAAUUCUUUUCAUGUGUCAGGGGUGGAAAAUAAAUUCACAUUCCCAGAUGGAAACCAAAGCCCUAAAAAAAUAGAAGAUACACCUCAAUUGUGACACCUUACUAGCAUGGGUCUGCUUACAUUCUUUUUUUUUUAAUGUUUAUUAUUUUUGACAGAGAGAGAGAGAGCUCACGCGUGAGUGCACUCGUGCACGUGAGUGGGGGAGAGGCAGAGAGUGAGACAGAGACACAAAAUCUGAAACAGGCUCCAGGUUCUGAGCUGUCAGCACAGAGCCUGAUGCAGGGCUCAAACUCACAAACUAUGAGAUCAUGACCUGAGCCGAAGUUGGACACUUAACCAACUGAGCCACCCAGGUGCCCCACAUUCUUUUUUUUUUUUUUUUUUCAACGUUUAUUUAUUUUUGGGACAGAGAGAGACAGAGCAUGAACAGGGGAGGGGCAGAGAGAGAGGGAGACACAGAAUCGGAAACAGGCUCCAGGCUCUGAGCCAUCAGCCCAGAGCCCGACGUGGGGCUCAAACUCACGGACCGCGAGAUCGUGACCUGGCUGAAGUCGGACGCUUAACCGACUGCGCCACCCAGGCGCCCCUCUUUUUUUUUUUUAAUGCUUAUUUAUUUUGAGAGAGAGAGAGAAUGCACGUGAGUGGGGGGGAGGGGCAGAGAGGGAAGGAGGGAGAGAAUCCCAAACAGGCUCUGUUCUGCCAGUGCAGAGCCCAAUGUGGGGCUUGAUCUCAUAAACGGUGAGGCCAUGACCUGAGCUGAAAUCAAGAGUUGGAUGUCUGUCUAACUGACGGAGCCACCUGGGUGCCCCAUACAUUCUUUCUUUAAAAAUGUUGUCAUAGUAAAUCAGGAGGAGGCUUACCAUGUUUGGUAUUAAAGAUACUGAGGAAUAUCAAGAUGCACGAGCCACUGGUUUCAUCUAUUUGCUGUGAAGUAAUAUGUCCUCUUUGUACUAAUGUAUUCAUUAGUGAAGCUUAUCAUAGUUUUAUUCUUUGGGGCAAAAAUACCUUAUUUCCAGGGUUUGCAUUGAUCUGGGGAUUUUUUUUCUGGAUUCAGAGGGGGAUUGCAGAAUCUAGUAUUGAUGCCUAUUGAUAAAUGCCAUUGCAUUCAGCAGCCCAUGCGCAGUGGAGAUAAAGCCCCUCCUCCCCCCACUCAGAAAGGGGAGACCAUUUCCUGCUCCAAGUGUGGUCGCAGGAAUCGCCCGGAAGCUUGCUUCUGUGACUGGUGUGGAGCCACGGUGGGUAUUUUAAAUCUGAGUUUCUUGGUGCUGAGGCUUCACCACCACCCUAGAGAGGCCCAGCUCCUCCUCUUCCCCUGCCCUACAGAAAUCACUCCUUGCGAUUUGAAGACUACCACCUAUUUACCUAAGACUCCGGAGACAGAGAUACUUCUCUUAAAUUGAGAAAGCUCUGUCAUUGCUGUUUCUUUGAGGUUAAACUUUUCCUAUUUCUAUUUGACUAUUGGUAUUUCUUUUAUGAAUUAUCUGCUUACUUUUCUAAUAAAACACUCAAAGUCAUUUAUUCAAAUAAGCGUUGCAUGUAAAUAAUACAAAAGGUUUCGUGUGAAGGGUUAGUCUCCCUUCUCAUCCCAGGCCUAUAGAGCCUAUCCCCAGAAGCAGUCACCGUCACCUAGUGUCUGAGUGUUCUUUGAGCCGUUCAGUGUGCUAAUAAGUAAACUGGUAGUUUACUAUGAACACUGGCUCAGUUCUUUUCACCUAGCAAUAUAUCUUAUUUGUAGCCUCUCAUUCUUUUCAGUGGUUCCGUAAUAUACCACUUUCUGUAUGUACCAUGAUAUAUUGAGGCCAUCCCCUAUUGCUGGACAUUUAGAUGGUUUCCAAUUAUUUUCUCUAAAACCACAAUCCUGUGGGGAAUGGUCUUAAAUAUACUUGCUUUGUGUAAUUGUUCAUCUGUAGGACAAAGUCUAGAAGGUAGACUUGGGGUCAGGGGAAUAGGCAUAUGUUAUUUUGAUGGCUGGAGAUUGUAUGGUAUGAGAAUAACUUACAUGGAAAAAUUAGGACUCUAAUAUUUAUGAAGAUGUAAAAAUAUUUUCUAUCCUCUAGCCAGGCAUUUCUGCCUGCUACUCUGUUUGCCCCAAAUGUGGGGCCAGCAAUCACCCAUCUGCCCGAUUCUGUGGUUCCUGUGGUAUUUAUGUGAAGUCCUUGGCAAGACUUAGCAUGGAUAACAACCUGGCUCUUGCUGCUGGAGAACUUCGCCCUUUUGCUGAGGUGAGGCCUCCACUGUAGUAAGAGCUGGUGCCUGGGGAAGAGCUUAGGACUCUGAAUUUGUGUUCUCUACCUUGGGGAUCAACCUGGGGAGAGAGAGCCAAAAUACAGACUUUUCACAUGGAUUUUCAACUAGGUGUGUAAGUAAAGUCAACCAAUUCAAGUUUUCAACACUCAAGUGAUUUCGUCUGCAUUCAAAGAUCUAAGGGUUUAUCUGUAGUAGAUUGAGGUCUAAUUGCAUUUGGAAGACUAAUAAAAAUAAUGUAAGUUGACAUAAUGUCAUGAAGGAGAAGUGGAUUUAAAAUACAUGAGACAGAAAAAAAGUAAAAUAAAUACAUGAGACAGAAUGUCCUUCUCGUGCAUUUCUCAUGAGGCAUACUAGGAACGUUGCUCCCAUUGUUUUAAGUUUUAGAAAACUUGUAUCAGGUAUAUGAAAUAGCUGCUGCUAUUUAAAACAACUGCAUAUAGUUUAAGGAAAAUCUUACAGGGUUAUUUUCAGAAUGACUUAAUCUCUAACCAGCUUGAUAUUAGCCUUUUGUGAAUUUCUCUAAGCUAGAUGAAGACUUUUCAGGUUUCUUUUUAGCUCUUCAUUAGAAGAAUGUGAAGAUUGGUAGUCCUUAGAAUGCACAUGCACUCAGUAAUUUUGCAUUCAUUUUUAGGGAGUUCAUGGCCUUCUUAACCCAGACUGAGACUUAUGGAUCCUGGGAGUGUCAGUAGCCCAUAUUGACACCUUUGUGCAAAUGAGACCAAGGGUUCUUUCUUCAAGACACUAGACUGCCAUCUGUUGGAAACUGAUUGUAAUAUACUAAUUUUCUUAGACAUUUUCUUCCACCUACCAGAAAAACUGUCCUAAUAAAUUUGCAAAUAUAUGAUGCCUACCAUGUGAAUCUUAGCUCAUUAGAUGCAGUGAUGUUGUGCAGUACACAACCUACACAACCUUACAUGAUGGUCCUCUCAAGUUCCCAUGUCCAGAUGCAGGAGUGCCUCAGAGAAAAUACCGGUCCCCAGUAGUUGAGUGUGGAUGAGUAGUAACUCCAUUGGAUUGUAGAACUGAGAGGAUAGAUUUCUUUAGGGCCUCGGGCAGCAAGACAGGGAAUAUUAGUUUAGUUGAUUUGUUGAGUUUGAGAUAGUAAAUGGCCAAGCAGAAGAGGCUGGCUUUAUGGGUCAGGCUGGGAGUUCCUGGGAGAGACAGACCAAGGAAGGUGAGGCAAGGGCUGAAAACCUCUUUUUAGUUCAGAGUACAGUUUCUUGGAGAUAUUUUUUACUUCUGAUUAGAAUUCUUUUCUAUAAGUAAUUAUGAAGAAUUAAUGAAAUUAUAUUCUAGUAUUUUAUGUUUUCUGCCUUGCUCAUAGCCCCGAUCUGCCUGGCAGUCCCUAAAUGUUCCUUUGCUCAGACCUGAGGCUGGGACUCGGAAGGACGUGGGCACACAGACUACUGGCCUGUUCUACCCAUCUGGUGCACUACUAGCCAAAAAGGAACUGGAAAUGGCUUCUCAAAAGCAGAGGCAGGAGAAAAUGAGUGACCAUAAACCUCUCCUCACAGCUGUCAGCCCAGGAAGAGGUGAGAGAAAAAGUACACUUUCUUGUCAGGAGGGAAUUCCCUCUUUCUCUGAAAGAAAACUGCAUUUUUUUUUUCUUCCUUUAGCUUUAUUUCUAUGCAUAAGUAAAUCCCUUUGGGGCGCCUGGGUGUCUCAGUUGGUUAAAGCAUCCUACUUCAGUUCAGGUCAUGAUCUCACGGUUUGUGAGUGCAAGCCCUGCAUCAGGCUUUCUGCUGUCAGCACAGAGCCCACUUCAGAUCCUCUGUCUCCCGCUCUCUCUGCCCCUCCCCCACACCUCUCCUAAAAAUAAACAAACAUUAAAAAGAAAGAAGUGGGGUGCCUGUGUGGCAUCCAACUUUGGCUCAGGUCAUGAUGGCAUGAUUCGUGACUUCGAGCCCCACGUCGGGCACUCUGCUGUCAGCUCAGAGCCUGCUUUGGAUCCUUUGUCCCCUUCUCUCUCUGCCCCUCCCCCACUGGUUCUCUCUCUGUUUCUCUCAAAAUAAAUAAAUUAAUUAAAAAAAAAAAAAGUAAAUGGGGCUCCUGGGUGGCUCAGUCUGUUAAGCGUCCGAUUUUAGCUCAGAUCAUGAUCUCACAGUUUGUGGGUUCGAGCCUUGUGUCAAGCUCUAUGCUGACAGCUCAGAGCUUGGAGCCUGCUUGGAAUUCUGUGUCUCCCUCUCUCUCUGCCCCUUCCCUGCUCAUGCUCUCUCUCUCAAAAAUAAAUAAACAUUAAAAAUAAAUGAAUGAAUGGAUAAAUGAAUGAAUGAAUGAAUGAAGUUAAUCCCUUGGGGUGCCUGGGUGGCUCAGUCGGUUGAGUGUCUGACUUUGGCUCAGGUCAUGAUCUCACGGUCCGUGAGUUCUAGCCCCGCAUUGGGCUCUGUGCUGACAGCUCGGAGCCUGAAGCCUGCUUCAGAUCCUGUGUCUUCCUCUCUCUCUACUUCUCCCCUGCUCAUGCUCUGUCUCUCUCUCAAAAUAAUAAAUAAACAUUAAAAAAAAAAAAGUAAAUUCCAUCGUUUUUCUUUAGGUAAUUUUCCUUUGUAUUAUAGCUCUUCCUUAAACUUUUAGUACUCUGAUGUUUUGACUCAUAGCCCCAUCAUCUAGUUUGUAAAUCAAAUAGCACAUAUGGAUUGCAACUAUGAUGGUAGAAAUGUUGUUAGUCUGUGUCAUUAUUGCUCUCUGCCAAUAUCUCUCUCUUUUUACUGUUCUAAAAUUCACAUAACGAAAUUCACCAUUUUGACCAUUUUGAAGUGUACAAUUCAGUGAUAGUACAUUAGCAGCAGUAUAGAAACAUUACCACGUCCAGAACAUUUUCAUCACCCCAAAAGUAGUCCUGAUACUCUUUUUUUUUUUUUUUAUUUUGGGGACAGAGAGAGACAGAGCAUGAACGGGGGAGGGGCAGAGAGAGAGGGAGACACAGAAUCGGAAACAGGCUCCAGGCUCCGAGCCAUCAGCCCAGAGCCCGAUGCGGGGCUCGAACUCACGAACCAUGAGAUCACGACCUGAGUCGAAGUCGGACACUUAACCGACUGAGCCACCCAGGCGCCCCCUGAUACUUUUUUGUAAUCACUGCUCACAUCUCCUGACCCAGGUGCCUGACAACCACAAAUAUACUUCCUGUUUUUUAUUUAAAAAAAUUUUUUUAAUGUUUAUUAUUUAUUUUUGAGAGACAGAGAGAGACAGAGUGCAAGUUAGGGAGAGGCAGAGAGAGAGGGAGACACAGAAUCCGAAGCAAGCUGCAGACUCUGAGCUGUCAGCACAGAGCCCGACGUGGGGCUCGAACUCAUGAACCGUGAGAUCACGACCUGAGCCAAAGUCAGAUGCCUAACCAACUGAACCACCCAGGCACCGCUUUCUGUUUUUAUAAAUUAGCCUGUUCUGAACAUUUCCUGUAAAUGCGUCUCCUGCUUGCCCACAAGAAACCAGAAAUCCAGACUCUUGUGACAUCUCCCAAGUAUUAAAUGGUGGCAGUUAGUGAAUUCAAGUGUGUUUAAACCCUGUGCAGACUGUAGAAGGGCACAAGGGAGUUUUUGGAAUGAUGGAAAUGUUCUAUGUUUUGAUUGGGAUGCAUAUGCUUGCUGGAAUUCAAACCAUAUACUUAAAAGUUAUCUCAACAGGGUUAAUUUUAAUAGAAUAAAAUAGGAGUGGCUGGGUGGCUCAGUUGGUUGAGCGUCCAACUCUUGAUUUCGGCUCAGAUCAUGAUCUCACGGUUCAUGAGUUCGAACCCCACGCUGGGCUCUGGGCUGACAGCACAGGACCUGCUUGAGAUUCUCCCUUUCUCUCUAUCCCUCCACUGCUUGCACUCUGCCUUUGUCAAAAAUGAAUAAAUACACUUUUAAAAAAGAUCUAUAUUUUAAUCAAUAGGGCAACUAUUCAAAAAGAAUACCAAGGAAUACAGCUAAAAAGCUAAUGGGAAAAUUUAAAUAUAAUUCUAAAAAGUAUUCAAGUUACCCCCCAAAAAACCCCAGGAAAAUAGGAACAAAGAAAACAAAACAAAUGGGAAAAGUAUAAAUCAAAUAAUAAAAUGGUAAGUCAAAACCAAAACAUAUCAAUAAUUACAUUUAAUUUUGUGGACUGAACAUUUCAUUAGAAGGUAGCAAUUGUCAUCAUGCGUUUUGAAAAAACGAAAAAACAGGGGAUCCUGGGUGGCUCAGUUGGUUAAGCAUCCAACUCUUGAUCUCAGCUCAGGUCUUGAUCUCAGGGUCAUGAGUUCAAGUGCCACACUGGGGCUCCAUGCCAAAAGAAAAAAAAAAAAAAAACAACUCUGUGCAAGCCAUAGACAAGACCUAACUAUGUAGAGUAAAAGUAAAUAUAUAGUAAAAAACACGCUUGCUGAAAUUCAAACUGUAUGCUUAAAAGUUAUGCCUCGGGGCGCCUGGGUGGCUCAGUUGGCAGGGCAUCCAACUUCAGCUCAGGUCAUGAUCUCACGGUUCAUGAGUUCAAGCCCCGCAUCAGGCUCUGUGCUGACAGCUCCAAGCCUGGAGCCUGCUUCGGAUUCUGUGUCUCCCUGUCUCUCUGCCCCUCCCCCACUUGCACUCUGUCUCUCUUUCAUAAAUAAAUAAAUGUAAAAAAAAAAAGUUAAAAAAAAGUUAUGUCUCAAAAGGGUUAAUUUUAUUUUAUUUUAUUUUUUAUUUUUUUAUUUUUUUCCACUCGUUUAAUUCUACCAUUUAUUUUUUUUCUUUUUUUUUUUUUAUUAUGAAGUUUAUUGUCAAAUUGGUUUCCAUACAACAUCCAGUUCACAUCCCAACAGGUGCCCUCAAUACCCAUCACCCACCCACCCCUCCCUCCCACCCCCCAUAAACCCUCAGUUUGUUCUCAGUUUUUAGGAGUCUUUUAUGUUUUGGCUCCCUCCCUCUCUAACCAUUUUUUUUUCUCCCCCUCCCCCAUGGUCUUCUAUUAAGUUUCUCAGGAUCCACAUAGGAGUGAAAACAUAUGGAAUCUGUCCUUCUCUGUAUGACUUAUUUCACUUAGCAUAACACUCUACAGUUCCAUCCAUGUUGCUACAAAAGGCCAUAUUUCAUUCUUUCUCAUUGCCACAUAGCAUUCCAUUGUGUAUAUAAACCACAAUUUCUUUAUCCAUUCGUCAGUUGAUGGACAUUUAGGCUCUUUCCACAAUUUGGCUAUUGUUGAGAGUGCUGCUAUAAACAUUGGGGUACAAGUGCCCCUAUGCAUCAGUACUCCUGUAUCCCUUGGGUAAAUUCCUAGCAGUGCUACUGCUGGGUCAUAGGGUAGGUCUUCAAUAUGGUUAAUUUUAAAAGAAUAAAAUAGGGGGUGCCUGGGUGGCUCAGUCGGUUGAGCAUCUGACUCUUGAUUUCAGCUAAGGUCAUGAUCUAAUGGUUCAUGAGUACAAGCCUUGUGUUGGACUCUGUGCUGACAGUAUGGAGCCUGCUUGGGAUUCUCUGUCUCCCUCUCUCUCUUUUCAAAAUAUGUUCUUUUGAUAUUCUGUACUAUUCUGUGAUUAAUCAUGUCUAAUUAAAAAAAAAGCUGGGAAAAAAAUGGAACUUAUUCUAGUACAUAGUCAAGGUUCAGUAAGCCAAACCAUCACAAAAUUUGACCAAACAAAAUAAUAACCUCUCUGAGUAUGCAUGUUGCAAACUAGCAUUUUUCUUUCUUGGCUUCAGAAGAAUUAUCCACGUGGAUGGGUUUCUCUUUUUCUUUAGGGUACUGGAGAAAACAGUUGGAUCAUAUCUCUGCUCACCUCAGGUCUUAUGCUCAGAACAACCCUGAGUUCAGGGCUUUGAUUGCAGAACCCAGAAUGGGAAAGGUGGGUGAGCUCUGACUGGAAUUUCCACACCAGAGCAUCGCAUGGGGUCAGGCUGCAGUUCCCCUCCACUGACUUCACCUGAAAUCGCACUUUGCUUGGCUCCUUUCCCUUUCCUGUCCUGCUUUCCACACUUCUUUACUGCCCUCCCCUACAAGCACGGCCUCAAUAAAUCACCUGUGCAUGAACCUUGUCUCAGGGUCUGCUUCUGGGCACCUGACCUAAGCAAGGUAAAAUAGUAAAUUGUGAACCAUCCAUGCUUUUACAUUCCACGUGCUAUGGAGAUUCUUGUGGUCAGAGCUAAAAGACCCAGAAGAGUUUAGUCUAGCCAAAUUGCACACUGAAAUCCAUUCUGUAUUAGCAGCAGUAGUGAUCAUAACAGUUGCCGUUUAAUGAUGCACUCACUAUGUGCGUUAUGUUCAUCGAUCUGUAGUGCUCAUAACAAACCUACAAGGUAGGGAUAUUACCUUUGUGGCCGUUUUUAAUAAUGGCCACAAAUUCUUUGAUAGUUUUCCCUGCAAAGGGCAGAGUCCCUGUCCCCUGUGGACGGGUGGGAGGACUUAUGGCAGUUGGGCUAAUAACUGAGUGCAGUGGCAGUGAUGCCAUGGGACUCUCAGGGUGUGGUCCUCUUACUUGGCACACUCACCUUCAACACUCCUUCUUGGAGCCCAGCCACCCUGCUGUGAGAAGCCCAAGCCCCAUGGUGUGGCCAUGUGUAGGUGCACCGUCUGCAGCCCUAGCUGAACCCGGGCCUGGAGUCAUCAUCCUGGGUCAGGAGCCAGGCAGACGAGUGAUGAGAGCCUGGGUCAUUCCAGCCUCCAAACAUGCAGCCACCUUCUAGCCAUUUGAGUUUUCCCAGCUGAGGUGGCAGAUGUGUCGAGACAAGACCAUCUGUCCCCUCUGUGUCCUGUGGGAAGCCACAAACUUAAUAAAAUGGUCGUUCAGUGCCACUAAGUUUGAGGUGGCUUUUUACACUGCAGUAGAUAAUCAGAACAAGCCUUAUUUUUGACACCCAGGAAAACUGGCUCAAAGAGCUUUGGUGACCUGCCCAGGACUGCACUGUUGGGUCUUUUGGGGGAUUCCAGAUUUGAAGCCCCAUGCUCUUUCUCUGGCAUUAUACCACCACUGUAAGAGACAGCUCUGUGAGAAGACCUCUUCUGUUUGUCAGAACACUAGAAGGAAUCUUUAGAAAUCAGCCUGUUUGAUCCUCUACCACCAAAUUGGCCAACAUUGAAACUAUUUCAUUGUCAAGUAGUGCUUAGUUUCCCUUGAUAAUGUUUUGGGGGUGUAUUCAUUCUCUCGCCUAAUCCAGGGGUCUGCAAACUAUAGCCUGUGGGGCAAAUUAGGCCCAUUACUCAGUUUUACAAAGCGAGUUUUAUUGGAUCACGGCUGUACUAAUUUGUUUACUUACUGUCCAUGACUGCCUUUGUGCUACAAUGGCAAUGACCCACAAAACCUCAACUACUUACUAUCUAAUCCUUAAAGAAUUUGUUGACCCCUGUUUGAGGCAAAUUCCUCCUGCUGCUUACAGAGAAAGCUUGUCAACUAUGAUGCUUGGCUCUUGAUUGACAAGGCCUAGCUCCUCCAGACACCCAGCUGACGACAUCCAGCCAGGUGGCUUGAUUAAACUUAAUGUGUGUUUCUUGCAGAGAAUAUAAAUUUGGGUCUUUCUUAUCCAUUCUGGCAGUCUCUGCUCUUUGAUGGGAACAUUAAUUUCAUUCAUUUACAAUUAGUGGAAUUAUAGCUAUAGCUGGAUUUGUGUCUGCUGUUUUGCUACUUAUAUUAUAUCUUACUUAGGUUUUGUUCCAUUGUUUCUCUUUUCCUGCCUUCUUUUGAGUUAAUUAAAUGUUUGGUUAAAUUUACGGUUUAACAUCUCAGGAUUUCUUGGCUGUUGCUCAGGACAUUAAGUCCCACAUGCAUGGUUGUGAAUUUUCUCUAAUGGUUUUUUAAAAGCUUAUCUCUGCUACUGUCCAUGAAGAUGGCUAUGAAGUUAGCAUCCAGCUGAAUUAUAUUCAAGUAUCAAACAAGGUGCGUAAGACUUUCAGAAACUGUUCAUUUGAAAAUUGGCUGAGCUAGUAAAUUGUAGCCUAUAGUCUAUUGAAAUGCUUCUGGGUAACCCAUGGAAGACAUAAGUUUCAAAUAUUAUAAAACUUGACUAAAGGCCAGUAAUUUCAUAGGAUUAGGUAAAUAACUGUGCUAAACCUCAGAGAAGUCAGGUUUCAGGCACAUAAAGAUGUAGUAAGAGUAGGAAUUACUGUCGACCCUAUCGGUCCUGUGGUUCUCAGGCUUUUUUAUACUCACUGAAGUCUGGGUGUGGAUGAAAGACCAACAAAAAUGUUUGCCUGUUUGUACUUUCACCUAUUUGCCUAUAAUAAAUAAGCCAAAUUUUGUGGCUAUGUCUCUCUUGAUCUGCCUCCUUAUAUGGUGAUUGCAACUUCGCUACAGAGCCUUUAAUGUGUGGCAAACAUUAAUUGAUUCAUACUGGCAGCUUUAGUUUCAUUGGGCAAGAAAUCAGAAUAUACAAAAGAAUAAUGAAUGGAUUGAGAAGGUGGAUGAAGAAGGCCAGGAAAAGCAGGGGAACUAGCAUUUAUCAGGCCCUGGCCAUAUGCCCAGUAGGGAGCUAGCAGUGUCUUUAAAAUGAAGACAGACAUAUGGGCACUGCCUAACUCAGAGGCUGGGAGUGUGCAGUGGGCUGACCCACAAAAGUGCUUUGAAGUCAAGUAAAGUGCUAAAUGCCAUGUUUUCAGUUGUGUGGCCAGAGCAGAGCUUGGGUCAGAGAGGUACUUGAGGAGAAGGGGAGUGAGGGACAUGAGACAGGGAAGGGGCUGAGUGGUCACACAUAAAUUUUGGCUUUAGCCUGAUCCACGAGGAGCUCUGAAAUGUGGGUCACACCACGAAGUUGUCCCAACUGAGGCAAGAAAAGGAGGGCUGUAACUUCUAGGGUAAGGCAGCACCCAUCUCUGGAGGCAGUUGGCCAGAGAAGGGAGUCAGCUGUGAGCUGUUAGCAGUCAACCCAGCAGCUGGGAGGGGUAUGCUGAUCAGUUAGGAGUAUGCUUUGGGUGGGCACUGAGAGCAUAUAUAACGUGCUAUCAAGUAGAAGUGGAGUAAUUAUCUUCGGGUUUAAUAUGUGUUUUUUCUUAACCUGUGUGUUCUAGUGUUGAGGAAGUAGCAGGUGGUUCCCUGUGGCGGGAGAGGCAACCAGGUGAGGGUGGGGCAGGAUGCCACACUGUGGAAUCAGUCCAGGUGGAUAUAGAAUUCCAGGUCUGGACCAUGUAUCAUCUAUCCUAACUUUAUAGGCCUCCAUUUUACCUCAUUUUACUUUCACAGUAUCCCUUUGGGGUAGGCCAAAAUAUUUCCACUUUACAGGUGAGGAACCUGAGGUUCAGAGAAAUUAAGCAACUUGCUUCUUCUAAGGUCCCUAAACUAGUAAGUAAUAGAACCAGGAUUCAAACUCUGUGGCUCGAGUCUCCCCAUGAUGUCACCUAAUUCCAAGAUACAGAAGGGUUUUAAGCAGGGAAAGGACACCAGUACUUACACAGUUUAGAAAGAUGACUGGGGCAGCCACAUGGAAAGUGGGCUGGCAGGAACCUGUUGGGAUGCCCUUGGAGUGAUCCUGGCAUAUGAAAAGGGGCUGUGGCUGUAACAACAGAGAAGAAGGGCUGCACUGAGGAGCCGUUUAAGAGGCAAAGUGGACAAAACAUUACAGGGAGGGGAGGAGGUGUCAGGAAGGAUGUCCAGGUUCAAGCUUGACUGUGUAGCUAAAGCUGUCAUUAACAAAGAGAGGAACAGGUUAGCAGGGAGAUUGUUCCUUCUGUGGGGACACAGCAACCUUGUCAUUCAUGGUGACUAAUUGUUUUCAUUGUCCAGAACCUUUACCUCAGCAAGGCUGUGGAUUUCAGCAGCCACUUCCUGAGCAGUGUCACUGAGGGUGGUAAUGGGCCAUUUGGCAGCAGGUCCAGCCUGGGUGAGUUGUACCCUUAUGGUGACUUUAAAACAAUUGACCAGGAACACAUUGACCUGGCAAGGAUGGCAGGGAAUUGCUUAUAGUUUUCCAGCCCAACCAUGCAUCUCACUGUAAUGUUCCAACCAUUUUAUUCUUCUGGCUUCUCUGAAGUCAGGGGUGAGAUUUUUCAAGUCUUUCACAGGGCUUGGGGAGAUAGGUUGUGUGGGGGGGUGUUCUUUGGGGCCUAUAAACCGUAGUCCCUUUUAUUCCUUCCUUCCCACUCAUCCUCUGGUCUUAGUCUGGGAUGAAUGGCUCCAGGAGUCCUUCUUGUGAAGUUCAAUCAAGUAGAAAUUUCUAUAAAAGCCAUUUUAUUCUUCUGACCUCUUGAGGGGCACAAUAGUAGGAUAGGUCUAUAUUAUUUGUGGGGAGUGGCGGGGGGACAUUGUUUUGGUCCUCAACUCUUUGUCAUUCCAGUGAGCAACUACAGCCAGAGCACCUCCGAUACCACUGAAAACGUCAAGAGGGCAAAGAAUUUCAAGACCAAAACAUUUCAAGAAAAGGAGCAGCUCACAGUAAGUGUACUCCUUUGUCCUCACAGCUGUCUUCUUAGGCCUAUCUGUUUAAUGUUUUACUUUGAGAUUUUUUAAAUGGAGAAAUACUUUUUCAUUUUCUGUGCCUUUUUUGGGUAUAUUUUUUAUUUUAUGGAAUUCUUUAAAAUAUGUCAAGAUUAUUAAUUAGAAUUAAAGUUCUCAUCAGUUUCCUGAAUCACCUCUGUUUCCUCUGGGGUCAAUUCUGUCUGUCCAUCUUUCUCUGUCUUGUUUUUGGUUGGUCUCAAAUAAGUGAUGAUCUGUGGUUGCCAGGUCAUGUUGACAAGUGAAGGGCUAGUUUGCGUAGUGCCAGUGCUUGCCCUGGGUGUGUGGGCCUGAGGUGCCUAUUGGGGGGGAUGGGCAUGCUGUCUCCCUGGAGAGUGUUUGGGCAGAACACAAGAAAUUUCCUUGGGGUCCCCUAAGUUGCCUUCCCCCUAGAGGUGAGUCUGUGCUGUGAAGGGCUCUAGAGUGUUUCAUUCCUGGAUGGGGCUCUUUUUAUUUCCUUGCUCUCCUUCCAUCUGUGUUGUCAUAGAGGUCUGGGCUCUGGCCUUCCUGGGCCCAGUACUCCCAGGAGAACUCUUUGUUAGGCAAAUAAUUAACUCUCUGGAAAAUAGUUAUCAGGGUUUAAGCAGAGAGCACAGGAGAGAGGGGAGGACAUCACCCAGCUCAGCCCUUUCCUAAAAUGCUCAUGAAUCCAGCCUGCACCCAACACCUGCCCUCCUUGUUGAUUAACUCAGCUUCUUCAGGGCUUCCUGGAGGAAACACACUCAUAUGUCUGGUGUCUUCAACUGCUUUUUCUUUGCUUUGAUUUCCCUCUCAGUCAGAUUCCACCUACUUUCAGUCUUUGGAAUUUCUCACGAUUACUGAUCCACUGAUGGCACUCUUCCAGUUUCCCACAGCUGUUAGAGUUUUGUUCUUCAAAAAUAUAGAGCAUUAACAUUUUAACGGGAGCUUUGGAGAAAGAGACAGUGGGUGCCCUUGUUCAGUCCACCACCUUGCCUUUCAUUUGGUCCUCUUUGGCUGCAGUAGGAGGACAGAUGUGCUUAGCAACAAACCCAAAGCCUGGGUCUCCACCAAGAUGGAGAUGGGCACAAGUCAGUUCUUCCCUCCUCUUUUCGCGAAGCCAAGCCCUCAGGGCAUCCUCAGGGGUGCACAUACUGGCGCCCAGAUUGUUAUCAUGAGUUCUACAAAGGCAGGUGAUUUCUUGCCUCAACUUGUUUUUUUCCACUACAUGCUUUACAUGUCAUAAACACCAAUAAAUGUGGGAAGAAGACCUUAGAAUUGUAUUAACUUUAAAAAAAAAUCUAUUUCUCCCUGGCCUUGAUUUAUUUACUUAUUUAAUUUAUUAUUUUUUAAUUUUUUAAUGUUUAUUUAUUUUUGAGAGAGAGACAGAGUGUGAGCAGGGGAGAAGCAGAGAGAGAGGGAGACACAUAAUAUGAAGCAGGCCCUGGACUCUGAGCUGUCAGCACAGAGCCCAACACGGGGCUUAAACUCACAGACUGCAAGAUUAUGACCUGAGCUGAGGUCAGACACCUAACCGACUGAGGCACCUAGGCUCCCCAUUUACUUAUUUUAUUUAAAUCCAAGUUAAGUUAACAUAUAGCAUAAGAAUGAUUUCAAGAAUAGAAUUUAGUGAUUCAUCACUUACUUAUAACACACAGUGCUCGUCCCAGUAAGUGCCCUCUUUAAUGUCCAUUGCCCACUUAGCCUGUCCCCCCACCCAAGACCUAAUAAGCAAACUUCAGUUUGUUCUCUGUAUUUAAGAGUCUUUUAUGGUUUGUCUAACUCUCUGUUUUUAUCUUAUUUUUUUGCUUCCCUUCCCCUGUGUUCAUCUGUUGUGUUUCUUAAAUUCCACAUAUAAGUGAAAUCAUAUAUUGUCUUUCUCUGACUUAUUUUGCUUAGCAUAAUACACUCUAGAUCGAUCCACAUUGUUGCAAAAGGCAAGAUUUAAUUCUUUUUGAUUGCCAAGUAAUAUUCCAUUACAUAGAUAUACCACAUCUUCUUUAUCCGUUCAUCAGUCAAUGGACAUUUGCUUACUUUUUCCAUACUUUUACUUACUCUUUCCAUACUUUUGCUAUCGUCAAUAGUGCUGCUAUAAACACUGGGGUCCAUGUGCCCCUUUGAAUCAGCAUUUUUAUAUCCUUUGGGUAAAUACCUAGUAGUGCAGUUGCUGGGUCAUAGUUCUAUUUUUAAUUUUUUGAGGAACCUCCAUACUGUUUUCCAAUUUGCAUUCCCACCAGCAGUGCAAGAGGGUUUGUCUUUUUUUUUUUUUUAAGGUUCUUCUUUCUCUGCAUUGUCACCAACAUCUGUAGUUGCCUGAAUUGUUAAUUUUAGCCAUAGAACUAUAUUAACUUGUAUCGCUUAUGAUUCCUCAUACUCUUGGCCUUCUCCCAGUUUAAGUAUAAAGUUCAAUAAACUUUAACAGU
rnacentral:lncRNA from 1 species